rnacentral:rRNA from 1 species
AUUGAACGCUGGCGGCAGGCCUAACACAUGCAAGUCGAGCGGCAGCGGGAAAGUAGCUUGCUACUUUUGCCGGCGAGCGGCGGACGGGUGAGUAAUGACUGGGAAAUUGCCCAGUCGAGGGGGAUAACAGUUGGAAACGACUGCUAAUACCGCAUACGCCCUACGGGGGAAAGCAGGGGACCUUCCGGCCUUGCGCGAUGGGAUAUGCCAAGGUGGGAUUAACUAGUUGGGGAGGUAAUGGCUCACCAAGGCGACGAUCCCUAGCUGGUCUGAGAGGAUGAUAAGCCACACUGGAACUGAGACACGGUCCAGACUCCUACGGGAGGCAGCAGUGGGGAAUAUUGCACAAUGGGGGAAACCCUGAUGCAGCCAUGCCGCGUGUGUGAAGAAGGCCUUCGGGUUGUAAAGCACUUUCAGCGAGGAGGAAAGGUCAGUAGCUAAUACCUGCUGGCUGUGACGUUACUCGCAGAAGAAGCACCGGCUAACUACGUGCCAGCCGCCGCCGUAAGAC